rnacentral:rRNA from 1 species
UGGGGGAUAUUGCACAAUGGGCGAAAGCCUGAUGCAGCGACGCCGCGUGGGGGAUGAAGGCUUUCGGGUUGUAAACCUCUUUCGCUAUCGAACAAGGCCCGCUUAGGGUGGGUUGAGGGUAGGUGGAGAAGAAGCGCCGGCUAACUACGUGCCAGCAGCCGCGGUAAUACGUAGGGCGCGAGCGUUGUCCGGAAUUAUUGGGCGUAAAGGGCUUGUAGGCGGCUUGUUGCGCCUGCUGUGAAAACGCGGGGCUUAACUUCGCGCGUGCAGUGGGUACGGGCAGGCUUGAGUGUGGUAGGGGUGACUGGAAUUCCAGGUGUAGCGGUGGAAUGCGCAGAUAUCUGGAGGAACACCGAUGGCGAAGGCAGGUCACUGGGCCAUUACUGACGCUGCGGAGCGAAAGCAUGGGUAGCGAACAGG